GUGCCUAAUACAUGCAAGUCGAACGCACAGCGUAAAGGUGCUUGCACCUUUCAAGUGAGUGGCGAACGGGUGAGUAACACGUGGACAACCUGCCUCAAGGCUGGGGAUAACAUUUGGAAACAGAUGCUAAUACCGAAUAAAACUUAGUGUCGCAUGACACAAAGUUAAAAGGCGCUUCGGCGUCACCUAGAGAUGGAUCCGCGGUGCAUUAGUUAGUUGGUGGGGUAAAGGCCUACCAAGACAAUGAUGCAUAGCCGAGUUGAGAGACUGAUCGGCCACAUUGGGACUGAGACACGGCCCAAACUCCUACGGGAGGCUGCAGUAGGGAAUCUUCCACAAUGGGCGAAAGCCUGAUGGAGCAACGCCGCGUGUGUGAUGAAGGCUUUCGGGUCGUAAAGCACUGUUGUAUGGGAAGAACAGCUAGAAUAGGAAAUGAUUUUAGUUUGACGGUACCAUACCAGAAAGGGACGGCUAAAUACGUGCCAGCAGCCGCGGUAAUACGUAUGUCCCGAGCGUUAUCCGGAUUUAUUGGGCGUAAAGCGAGCGCAGACGGUUUAUUAAGUCUGAUGUGAAAGCCCGGAGCUCAACUC
rnacentral:rRNA from 1 species